GACAGAGGGUGCAAACGUUGUUCGGAAUUACUGGGCGUAAAGCGCGUGUAGGCGGCUUGGCAAGUUGGAUGUGAAAGCCCACGGCUCAACCGUGGAAGCGCAUCCAAAACUGCUUCGCUCGAGUCUCGGAGAGGAAGGUGGAAUGCUUGGUGUAGAGGUGAAAUUCGUAGAUAUCAAGCAGAACACCUGCGGCGAAGGCGGCCUUCUGGACGAUGACUGACGCUGAGACGCGAAAGCGUGGGGAGCAAACAGG
rnacentral:rRNA from 1 species